GACGAACGCUGGCGGCGUGCUUAACACAUGCAAGUCGAACGGAAAGGCCCUGCUUUUGUGGGGUGCUCGAGUGGCGAACGGGUGAGUAACACGUGAGUAACCUGCCCUUGACUUUGGGAUAACUUCAGGAAACUGGGGCUAAUACCGGAUAGGAGCUCCUGCGGCAUGGUGGGGGUUGGAAAGUGUAGGCGGUGGGGGAUGGACUCGCGGCUUAUCAGCUUGUUGGUGGGGUAGUGGCUUACCAAGGCUUUGACGGGUAGCCGGCCUGAGAGGGUGACCGGCCACAUUGGGACUGAGAUACGGCCCAGACUCCUACGGGGGGCAGCAGUGGGGAAUAUUGCACAAUGGGCGGAAGCCUGAUGCAACAACGCCGCGUGCGGGAUGACGGCCUUCGGGUUGUAAACCGCUUUCGCCUGUGACGAAGCGUGAGUGACGGUAAUGGGUAAAGAAGCACCGGCUAACUACGUG
rnacentral:rRNA from 1 species